rnacentral:rRNA from 1 species
CCCUUAGAUGUCCUGGGCCGCACGCGUGCUACACUGAUGCAUACAGCGAGCACUUCCCGGCCCCGAAAGGCGGCUGGUAAUCAGCAAUAUGCAUCGUGAUGGGGAUAGUUCUUUGGAAUUCUUGAACUUGAACGAGGAAUGCCUAGUAGGCGCAAGUCAUUACCUUGCGUCGAUUAAGUCCCUGCCCUUUGUACACACCGCCCGUCGCUCCUACCGAUUCGAGUGAUCCGGUGAACCUUUUGGACCGAGGCAGCUUGCUGUUUUGGAAAAUCAAGUAAACCAUGUCACUUAGAGGAAGGAGAAGUCGUAACA